rnacentral:snRNA from 1 species
UUAGCUCUCUUUGCCUUUUGGCUUAGAUCAAGUGUAGUAUCUGUUCUUUUCAGUUUAAUAUCUGAAAUUGCUCUACGGAGCAUAUUCGUUAUUAAUCUUAUUUUUGAAUCUCGGAGGAAGGCCCUCUGGGCUUGCCCAUGACCUACCUUCACUGUGUCCUUGGUACCACACUGCCUCCAAGCGACGCGAACUCGA